rnacentral:rRNA from 1 species
AAGAGCUUGUAGGCGGUUUGCCGCGUCUGCUGUGAAAGCCCGGGGCUUAACUCCGGGUGUGCAGUGGGUACGGGCAGGCUAGAGUGCAGUAGGGGAGACUGGAAUUCCUGGUGUAGCGGUGAAAUGCGCAGAUAUCAGGAGGAACACCGAUGGCGAAGGCAGGUCUCUGGGCUGUUACUGACGCUGAGAAGCGAAAGCAUGGGUAGCGAACAGGAUUAGAUACCCUGGUAGUCCAUGCCGUAAACGUUGGGCACUAGGUGUGGGGGACAUUCCACGUUUUCCGCGCCGUAGCUAACGCAUUAAGUGCCCCGCCUGGGGAGUACGGCCGCAAGGCUAAAACUCAAAGGAAUUGACGGGGGCCCGCACAAGCGGCGGAGCAUGCGGAUUAAUUCGAUGCAACGCGAAGAACCUUACCAAGGCUUGACAUACACCGGACCGCGCUGGAGACAGCGUUUCCCUUCGGGGCUGGUGUACAGGUGGUGCAUGGUUGUCGUCAGCUCGUGUCGUGAGAUGUUGGGUUAAGUCCCGCAACGAGCGCAACCCUUAUCCUAUGUUGCCAGCACGUGAUGGUGGGGACUCAUGGGAGACUGCCGGGGUCAACUCGGAGGAAGGUGGGGAUGACGUCAAAUCAUCAUGCCCCUUAUGUCUUGGGCUUCACGCAUGCUACAAUGGCCGGUACAGUGGGUUGCAAUGCCGUGAGGUGGAGCUAAUCCCUAAAAGCCGGUCUCAGUUCGGAUCGAAGUCUGCAACUCGACUUCGUGAAGUUGGAGUCGCUAGUAAUCGC